GUGAUACCUUGUUCUUCAUUAAAAGAUUCCACUAAACUUCUAAUUCCAUAUAAAAAUAUAAAAAGGUCUUCUAUUUUGUUAUUUACUGGUUGAAUAUUCAUCAGAAAUAUGGACCAUUUCGACCUUUUUAGAAUCAAAAUAGCAAAAUAAUCUAAAUGUAACAAAAUAAAACCCUCUAAAAAUAAAAGUCUAAAAAAAUAAAAAUAAAAAAAAGACAGAAAGAAAAACAUAAACCCAGAAAGACUGUGGAAGAUUCGUUUAAUUAAUGUAGGCUAGCCCAAUCAUGUAACGUCACUUUAUUUAUUGUAGGCUAUUUCUUAAUUUAAUUUGCAUAAUUUAUAGUCUUAAUGUAUUUUGUUGAUACUAUAUUCAUUGUAUAUGGCCUGUUUUGUCUUUCACUUGUGACGUGUCAACGUAUGACGCUCAUUUUAGAACCUGCGCGCGUUCUACAAUAACACAAUUUGCAGCUUCGAAGAUCAAGGUCGUAAAGUAUUAAUACUACCACAUUAGUAAUUCUUUUCACAGAUUUAUUUAUGCUUUUUUAUUUCUUUUGUUUGUUUGUCUUUUAUCUACACGCUAAGUAUAGCCUAUAGACCUAUAUAUUUCGUUUUAAUUUGGGAUCGCCACUUAACAACUGGAUUUGAAGUUUGACCUCAACAGGAUAUUUGCUGGACUGAAGGUCUAAUCAUAUUGUCAGCAGAUAGACGAAGGACACAGAGGUAAGUGUUACAAAUAACAGCAAGUUUAUUGACAACGAGGAAGACAACACAGGCGUGAGAACUGUCCAGGUAAACAGGCGGGGAGUGGGAAAGUCUUGAGCAGCUUAUCGGAGUCUGAUCGUGUCCUUGUGUUUUUCAGGUGAUCCGAGGGGAGCUGUGGAGCGUGGAGUCAGUGGUGAGCAACGAGGGAUAUCGCAGGAACAACAGGUAAGUAGACAACAGGUAAGUGGGUCAGGCGAAACAUGGUAUAGUUGAGACCAGACAGUGAGUGAACGGGAGGGGUGUGUUAAUAUAGUGCUGGCUGAUGAUCGCUGACAGGUGAAUGUGAUCAGUACUCAGGUGAUUGGGAUCUGGUGACGGUAGUAGGUGGUGACUGUGGUGACUCCCUGACAGUACCCCCUCCUUCAGGGGCAGCUCCUGACGCCCUACUAUGCCGACGGGGGUCGGCCACGGCCUCUGGGUGCUGGAUGGUUUUGGUGGAAUUCGGCCAGGAGAGUGGGAUCCAACACAUCGUCUUGGUUAACCCAGGACCGUUCCUCUGGAACCCUUACCAGUCUACGAGAUAUUCCAGACAACCGCCCUGUCGCCGAGAGUUCAAGAUCUCCUGCAUUUGGUAGACUUGUGGUUCCUCGAUGACUUCGGGAGGAGGUGGUACUGGCGGCUCGUCUGGUUCUGUGGGAGAGGGAGAAACAGGUUUGAGAGGGAAAACAUGGAAGGAUGAAUGCGAUACCGUGCCGGGAGUUGGAGUCGGUAGGUGACUUCGUUGAUCUGCCUCUCGAUUGUAAAGGAACCAAUGUAGCAGGGACUCAGCUUCCGGCAAGGCAGGCGGAGACGCAGAUCCCGGGUCGAGAGCCAGACCUUAUCUCCAGGACGAUAGACGGGGUUAGUUGACCAGCGGGCAUCUGCAAAGGUCUUGUGUCUCCACACUGCUUGCUGGAGUUGGAUGUGAGCUGAGUCCCAAACCCUCUCGCUGGCUCGAAACCAGUGGUCGACAGCUGGAACGUCCGAGGGUUCUUCUGCCCAGGGAAACAGAAGGGGUUGGUACCAGAGUAUGCACUGAAAAGGGGUAAGGCCAGUGGUCGUUUGCCUGAGGGAGUUUUGUGCAUACUCGGCCCACGGGAGGAAGCGGUUCCAGCUGUGUUGGUUGUCAUGACAGUAGGCCUGGAGAUAUCUCCCGAUCUCCUGUAUCUUCUGCUCAGUCUGGUCGUUGGUCUGGGGAUGAUAGCCGGAGGAGAGGUUGACGGAGGCAUUGAUGAGUUUGAAGAAGGCUGUCCAUACCCGGGAUGUGAACUGAGGCCCACGGUCGGAGACAAUCUCUUCUGGUAUGCCAAAGCUGCGAAAUAGAUGAAAGAGGGUUUCAAGCUGUUUCGAGGGCGGUGGGUAAACCCCGGAGGGGAAUCAACUUGCAUGCCUUGGAGAAUCUAUCCACUGCAAUGAGAAUGCAGGUGUGACCAUCAGACUUUGGCAGGUCUGUUACGAAGUCGACACCGACGUGGGACCAGGGACGACGUGGGAUGGGUAGUGGUACUAGCUUACCAGCAGGUAGGUGACGUGGAGUUUUGGAGAUGGCACGGACUGAGCCCGGGGAAGCGUGAAGGGAGCCCAGAAGGGUGAUUCUCAAGGAGCUUCGAGAAGAUGCGGGCCCCACGGAGUUCCUCGAGGGCGGCCGGGACCAGGGGAAGAGGGUAAGGGAGCUUGACGGUGUGUUCGUUGAGGGUCCGGUAGUCGAUACAGGGCCGCAAGCCUCCAUCCUUCUUACCCACGAAGAAGCAGCAGCUCGAUGCUGCUGGUGAGGUGGAUGGACGAAUGAACUGUUGUUGAAGAGCCUCCUUGAUGUAGUCCUCCAUAGCCUUGUGCUCCGGGAUGGACAGAGGGGUACACUCGCCUCUUGGGGGGUGUGGCACCAGGUCUAUGGCGCAGUCCCACGGCCGAUGGGGUGGUAACUUUGUGGCUGCCUGUUUGCUGAACACAUCCUGGAACGCCAUAUAGUCAGAUGGGAUCGUGGAAGCAGUGUGAGGUUCAGGGCUCUCCACAAGUGUGGAUUGAACAUGUAGCACCGGGGUCAUUAACCAGGGGUUCAGGAACGUUGGAAAGACAGUUUUGGAAACAGGUAGGACUCCAUCUUAAAAUCUCACUUGUGUCCCAUCUGACUUCUGGAGAAUGUUGAGAGAGCCAGGGGCGUCCCAGGAUGACGUCUACGGUGUGUCCCUCCAGUAGCAGAAAGGAGAUUCUCUCACUGUGAAGAGAUCCGAUUUGCGGUGUGAUUAGGUGGAAACCGGAACUUGAUGCGCCCACGUCCGAGCGGUUUUCCCUGGAUGGCUUCUACUUUCAGUUCUCUUUGUCUGACAAGGUGAACCCAGUUGUUUCAGUAGGGUUGGUGAGAUGAAGUUGCCGGAGGAGCCCGAGUCGACGAGGGCACGUGCUGAAAUGACAUGAAGUGGGGUGAGUAGUUGUAUAUCCAGCAGAGUCAAAUUAGAGAUAUCAGGCUCCAAUUGGGGGGUACUCACCGCGGGAAGCGGGGGACGUGAGGGGCACGCAUGAAUGAAGUGCCCAGGAGCUCCGCAGUACAAACAUAGUCCUGUAGUGAGACGUUGAGCAUGCUCCGGGCGGGAGAGGCGACUGGAAUCCACCUGCAUGGGUUCUGGUACUGGAGGACAGGCAGCGGGUAAGGACAGAGAAUGAGCGGUUGUUUCCGGUAGGCAGGCUGUAAGAUGUUGGGAAAUUUUCUCUGCUUUCUGCAUAAAGCUCUCCAAUCCGACCGAAUUCUCAUAAAUUGCCAUUUGGGCUCUGAGCUGGGGAUUUAAACCUUGACGGUAAGCAGUUAGUAAUGCAGUUUUGUUCCAUCCACAAGUGGCUGCUAGAGUCUGAAACUGCAAUCACUGGCCAAAGAACUGCCUUGCCGGAGACGGAUGAGUUGGUCGGAAACGGAGAGUGAUCCUGUGGCAAGACCGAAAACUUCCUGGAAAUGAGAAGAGAAAUCUUCGAAAGAGUCAAUGAGGUUAGACUGAAUUCCAGAUGGCUUGUGCCCAGAGUAAUGCUCGUCCGGUAAGCAAGGAGAUCAAAAACGCCACUUUAGUUCGUUCGUGAAUUUAUAGGAAUGCGUCUCAAUGUACAGUGAUACUUGGAGGAAACCGCUACAUUCUACCGCCUCACCCGAAUCGUUGGAAGGAAGGGCCAUGGGACUGGCAGAGGCAGAUUGAUGAUGUGGGUCCGGAGAGAGAGCGGCUCGAAGAGCGCUGACCAGCUCCUCGAUGGUAUUCUCAGCCGCGGGAGUUGGGCGCUCCAUCUCCGGACGAAGGUUAGGUCUGGUCUUCUGUCAGCAGAUAGACGAAGGACACAGAGGUAAGGGUUACAAAUAACAGCAGGUUUAUGGACAACAAGGAAGACAACACAGGCGUGAGAACUGUCCAGGUAAGCGGGUGGGGAGUGGGAAAGUCUUGAGCGGCUUAUCUGAGUCUGAUUGUGUCCUUGUGUUUUCCAGGUGAUCCGAGGGGAGCUGUGGAGCGUGGAUUCAUUGGUGAGCAGCAAUGAGGGAGAACUGGAAGGUAUCACAGGGAGAACUGGAAGGUAUCACAGGGAGAACUGGAAGGUAUCACAGGGAGAACUGGAAGGUAUCACAGGGAGAACUGGAAGGUAUCACAGGGAGAACUGGAAGGUAUCACAGGGAGAACUGGAAGGUAUCACAGGGAGAACUGGAAGGUAUCACAGGGAGAACUGGAAGGUAUCACAGGGAGAACUGGAAGGUAUCACAGGGAGAACUGGAAGGUAUCACAGGGAGAACUGGAAGGUAUCACAGGGAGAACUGGAAGGUAUCACAGGGAGAACUGGAAGGUAUCACAGGGAGAACUGGAAGGUAUCACAGGGAGAACUGGAAGGUAUCACAGGGAGAACUGGAAGGUAUCACAGGGAGAACUGGAAGGUAUCACAGGGAGAACUGGAAGGUAUCACAGGGAGAACUGGAAGGUAUCACAGGGAGAACUGGAAGGUAUCACAGGGAGAACUGGAAGGUAUCACAGGGAGAACUGGAAGGUAUCACAGGGAGAACUGGAAGGUAUCACAGGGAGAACUGGAAGGUAUCACAGGGAGAACUGGAAGGUAUCACAGGGAGAACUGGAAGGUAUCACAGGGAGAACUGGAAGGUAUCACAGGGAGAACUGGAAGGUAUCACAGGGAGAACUGGAAGGUAUCACAGGGAGAACUGGAAGGUAUCACAGGGAGAACUGGAAGGUAUCACAGGGAGAACUGGAAGGUAUCACAGGGAGAACUGGAAGGUAUCACAGGGAGAACUGGAAGGUAUCACAGGGAGAACUGGAAGGUAUCACAGGGAGAACUGGAAGGUAUCACAGGGAGAACUGGAAGGUAUCACAGGGAGAACUGGAAGGUAUCACAGGGAGAACUGGAAGGUAUCACAGGGAGAACAGGUAAGUAGACAACAGGUAAGUGGGUCAGACGAAACAACAUGGUAUAGUUGAGACCAGACAGUGAGUGAACGGGAGGAGUGUGUUAAUAUAGUGCUGGCUGAUGAUCGCUGACAGGUGAAUGUGAUCAGUACUCAGGUGAUUGGGAUCUGGUGACGGUAGUAGGUGGUGACUGUGGUGACUCCCUGACACAUAUCACGUAAGUAUAAUUUUAGUAUAAAAAUUCAAAUAUACAUUUAUUAAUUGUGGCAUCUGUUUGUUGGUGUUUAUUGCAGGACUGAAGGUCUAAUCAUAUCACGACUGAAGGCCUAAUCAUAUCAUUAUGGAUUGUCAGCACUGAUUUCCCUUAGAAAAUUAAUUUUAAGACAGACAGGGAAGAAGUACAAGCUCCUCAAAGACACAUAUGUAAGAAGUAAAACAUCUUUGGAGGUCCCAAACUGGAAGAGACUUCACACAGAGGUGCGCAAGGGUCGUGGUCGGAAGCGUAAGGCUGAUGUAGAUUCAGAAGCAGCUGCAGUGGAGGAGAAGAAAGAAAAGCUUGAUGGCGUAGAGAAAAAAGAUGAUGAAGCAGGACAAAGGGUUGUCAUCGAGCAUUG